GGGGAUGUGGCUCAGUAAUAGAGUGCUUGCCUACCAUGUGGGAAGCCCUGGGUUUAAUCCUCAGCAUCUCAA
rnacentral:tRNA from 1 species